rfam:Populus trichocarpa scaffold_10_contig_234, whole genome shotgun sequence.
UAAUAUGUUUAGAGCAUAUCUUUAUCUAAUUAUGACGGAUUCACACCUGACUACAUAAAAUCACCUGUGAAAACUAUUACGUGAACACUAACUUUUUAA